GUGGGAGUGCCGGAGUGGCCAAACGGGAUAGCUUUAUUAUUUUUAGAAAUAAAGUCCAAGCUUAGGUCAUUUUGGAGGAAACCUAUUGGCUUAGUGCCUUCACAGGUUCGAAUCCUGUCUCCCACA
rnacentral:tRNA from 1 species